GCUCGAGUGGCGAACGGGUGAGUAACACGUGAGUAACCUGCCCUUGACUUUGGGAUAACUUCAGGAAACUGGGGCUAAUACCGGAUAGGAGCUCCUGCUGCAUGGUGGGGGUUGGAAAGUUUCGGCGGAUGGGGAUGGACUCGCGGCUUAUCAGCUUGUUGGUGGGGUAGUGGCUUACCAAGGCUUUGACGGGUAGCCGGCCUGAGAGGGUGACCGGCCACAUUGGGACUGAGAUACGGCCCAG
rnacentral:rRNA from 1 species